rnacentral:rRNA from 1 species
UACGGAGGGUGCAAGCGUUAUCCGGAUUCACUGGGUUUAAAGGGUGCGUAGGUGGGUUGAUAAGUCAGUGGUGAAAUCCCCGAGCUUAACUUGGGAACUGCCAUUGAUACUAUUGAUCUUGAAUACCGUGGAGGUCAGCGGAAUAUGUCAUGUAGCGGUGAAAUGCUUAGAUAUGACAUAGAACACCAAUUGCGAAGGCAGCUUACUACACGAUCAUUGACACUGAGGCACGAAAGCGUGGGGAGCAAACAGG